rnacentral:rRNA from 1 species
UGGCGAACGGGUGAGUAACAUAUCGGAACGUACCCAGUAAUGGGGGAUAACUAGUCGAAAGACUGGCUAAUACCGCAUACGCCCUGAGGGGGAAAGCGGGGGAUCGAAAGACCUCGUGUUAUUGGAGCGGCCGAUAUCUGAUUAGCUAGUUGGUGGGGUAAAGGCCUACCAAGGCGACGAUCAGUAGCUGGUCUGAGAGGACGACCAGCCACACUGGAACUGAGACACGGUCCAG